CACCCAGUAGGUAGCAGAGCCGGGAUCUGAACCCUUCCUUGUCUAACUUCAAAUUCCACCAGGCCCCGACAUUCUCCAGCUUCCAUGGUGUUCCUGCAAUCCAAGUGCUGCUGACCUCUCUACAGAAGGAAGUCAUCUCCGGAGAUAAAGAGAGUGAGCCCAAGCCACAGAAAGAAAAGGAGAAUGAAGAGCGGGCACUGUGGCUCACACCUGUAAUCCCAGCACUUUGGGAGGCUGAGGCAGGCAGAUCACAAGGUCAGGAGAUCGAGACCAUUGUGGCCAACAUGGUGAAACCCUGUCUCUACUAAAAAUACAAAAAUUAGCUUGGCAUGGUGGUACACGCCUGUAGUCUCAGC
rnacentral:lncRNA from 1 species